rnacentral:tRNA from 1 species
CGGGCAGUGGCGCAGCUUGGUAGCGCGCCUCGUUCGGGACGAGGAGGUCGUGGGUUCAAAUCCCGCCUGCCCGA